GCCCCAAAGCUAGAGUUUGAAUCCUGCGCUUCAACUAUACACCAAGUCUCAGCUGGGGAAAACUCUGCCUCCGCCCCACGGACAUCUGUCCAGUUUUGGAUAUACUGUUAAUUGUUACGCGUUGGCAGGGUGCUGCAGGCAGCAUGUAGCGGUGCACUUACAGGGGAGGCUUUUAAAAAAAGUGUCACGAA
rnacentral:lncRNA from 1 species